rnacentral:lncRNA from 1 species
CCACACCUGGGACCAAUGAACCACCCUGUCCACACCUGGGACCAAAGAGCCACCCUGUCAGCAGUGGACUGGUCCCUGAUUUAAGGCCGGGCCGGUCUGUUAUGAGGAGAGUCGAACCAGCCGACGUGGUUGGGCUGGCAGCCAUGUUGACUGAGAGCGAAAACAUGUAAAUAGUCUGCACAUAAAAUAUUUCCUUCUUCAUCUUGUCCUUCUGACUGCUCCGAGCACGAUGCACACCCGUGUUCGCAACUGAGAA